AUGACUAGCACGCAAAAGCAGGCGGACAGGCGAUGUACAGGUUGUUGUGCAUCAAAACAACAAUUCAUCGUUUUUUGUAUGCGAAACAAGAUAUGAUGAGCUCGACAAUACUCAAUCCUUGAACGAAAACAAAAUCGAAACUACAAUUGUGUUAGCUACGGCAUGUGUACGAUUGCAGGCUGGCGUACACAUUACCGAACCAUGCAGAGCUAUGUUGGACACUGGAGCCGAAGCAUGUGUCAUUGGUCGCGAAUGCGUAAAACGACUACAAAUUCCUGCUGUGCGUUGCCGAGGACAAGUGAUUGGUGUUACAGGCGCCGAAGAACAGAUCACUGAAAAGUCGAAUUACCAACAAUGGUGCCCGAUGGCAUAUCGCUGGCUGACCCUGGCUUCCGCAUACCAGCUGAAGUGCACAUGUUGCUGAGUGUUGAGGUGUGGGCGCGUAUUCAAGAAUUCAUAUGAAGCUGAAGAGGAUCAAUUGCUGGAUCUAAUGCAACAAUUCUGGAAAACCGAAAAUAUCGCAGAAAUGGAUAAAUUGUUGACACCCGAAGAAGAAGUAGUGGAGCAAUUUUUUA